GAUACUACCCUAGCUGUGUUGGCUUUCUAACCCGCACCACUUAUCGUGGUGGGAGACAGUGUCAGGCGGGCAGUUUGACUGGGGCGGUCGCCUCCUAAAAGGUAACGGAGGCGCUCAAAGGUUCCCUCAUAAUGGUUGGAAAUCAUUCAUAGAGUGUAAAGGCAUAAGGGAGCUUGACUGCGAGACCUACAAGUCGAGCA
rnacentral:rRNA from 1 species